GACGAACGCUGGCGGCGUGCUUAACACAUGCCAGUCGAACGGAAAGGCCCUGCUUUUGUGGGGUGCUCGAGUGGCGAACGGGUGAGUAACACGUGAGUAACCUGCCCUUGACUUUGGGAUAACUUCAGGAAACUGGGGCUAAUACCGGAUAGGAGCUCCUGCUGCAUGGUGGGGGUUGGAAAGUUUCGGCGGUUGGGGAUGGACCCGCGGCUUAUCAGCUUGUUGGUGGGGUAGUGGCUUACCAAGGCUUUGACGGGUAGCCGGCCUGAGAGGGUGACCGGCCACAUUGGGACUGAGAUACGGCCCAGACUCCUACGGGAGGCAGCAGUGGGGAAUAUUGCACAAUGGGCGGAAGCCUGAUGCAGCAACGCCGCGUGCGGGAUGACGGCCUUCGGGUUGUAAACCGCUUUCGCCUGUGACGAAGCGUGAGUGACGGUAAUGGGUAAAGAAGCACCAGCUAACUACGUG
rnacentral:rRNA from 1 species